GGAGUUAGGAAAUGUAGAUACGCUGAUAUCGUAUCUAUUUGACAAAGGCUCCAAAGGAAGCCACGGCUAACUCUGUGCCAGCAGCCGCGGUAAUACAGAGGUGGCAAGCGUUGUUCGGAAUUAUUGGGCGUAAAGAGCACGUAGGUGGAUUUGUAAGUCAGAUGUGAAAGCCUUCUGUUCAACGGAAGAAUUGCAUCUGAAACUACAAACCUUGAGUAUAGGAGGGGAGAGUGGAACUUCUG
rnacentral:rRNA from 1 species